AUUAAACGCUGGCGGCAUGCCUUACACAUGCAAGUCGAACGGUAGCGCGGGGCAACCUGGCGACGAGUGGCGAACGGGUGAGUAAAGCAUCGGAACGUGCCCUGGAAUGGGGGAUAACGUAGCGAAAGUUACGCUAAUACCGCAUAUUCUGUGAGCAGGAAAGCAGGGGAUCGCAAGACCUUGCGUUCUGGGAGCGGCCGAUGUCAGAUUAGCUAGUUGGUGGGGUAAAAGCCUACCAAGGCGACGAUCCGUAGCGGGUCUGAGAGGAUGAUCCGCCACACUGGGACUGAGACACGGCCCAGACUCCUACGGGAGGCAGCAGUGGGGAAUUUUGGACAAUGGGCGAAAGCCUGAUCCAGCCAUGCCGCGUGAGUGAAGAAGGCCU
rnacentral:rRNA from 1 species